rnacentral:rRNA from 1 species
GACGUAGGAGGCGAGCGUUAUCCGGAUUCACUGGGCGUAAAGCGCAUGUAGGCGGUUCGUCAAGUCGUGUGUUAAAGCCCCUGGCUCAACUGGGGGAGGUCAUGCGAGACUGACAGACUUGAGGGCAGUAGAGGCACGUGGAACUCCUGGUGUAGCGGUGAAAUGCGCAGAUAUCAGGAGGAACACCGGUGGCGAAGGCGGUUCUCUGGGCAUUACCUGACGCUGAGGAGCGAAAGUGUGGGGAGCGAACAGG